GGAGAGGUGGUCGAGUGGCUUAAGGCACCUGCUUGGAAAGCAGGCGUACUCGCAAGGGUACCGUGGGUUCAAAUCCCACCCUCUCCG
rnacentral:tRNA from 1 species